AUUUUACUCUAUUGGAACACUACUAAAAUAUAUCUGAAUUCUGACCAGUGGUAUUAAACAUUUCUCAGUUUAUUUUAUUGGCUCCAAAACAUACAGCUAAAUGUACUAAAGGAAGUAUUUCAAAACCACAUUUAGGAAUAAUCCAAAAAGCUAAAUCAAAAAGUAAAUUCAGUACUAUGAAAAAAACAAGUAAAAGGUGUUCUUAGCAUGUUAAAUCUAAUUAUUCUGGUUUUUAUCAGACUACUAACUAAAGUAUGUAAGUUUCAAGGCACUGACUUUUGAAAAUGCUCUGAAACUUAGGGUAUAUACUAAAACCAGAAAGUAAUGAAAAAAUAUGUAAAAUAGUGGUUUAAUUUAUGUUAUAACAGGCAUUUGAAUGUGAAAUUUUGUUUUUUUUUAUGUGAUGUUAUUUCUUCUCAUUAUUUUAUACCCAACAGCCUGAGAACUUCAGUACCAGCUGACCCUCAGGCAAGAAAGACAGUAAUUUGUAAAGUAAAACUAAUUUUUGGUGAAUCAUCCAAGGAGUUCAUUGCUUCUCAACAUUUCAAAUUAACCUUUUCAUGUCACACAUUAUUAGAAAUAAAUCCAAUUAAAUUACAUAGCUUCCGUGAAGUAAUUUCCCCUCAAGAUGCCAUUUCUAUCUCUCCAGGGAAAACAACAUUUUAAAAACCUAAAACUAAAACUAGAGAAAUUAUAAUUUUAAACUUUGUGUAAUGCAAAUAUAUGUGUCUCAUUUAACACUGUUACUUUCUCAUGUCUGUCAUGUGAAUAGCUCAUCCAAUCAAAAAUUCCCAAGAACGUGGCUUCCCACAGAUCUGAAUUCCCCACAUGAAGAAGGCACCACAGCCAUUGAGGAAGGCAAGUCAGACAGUACCAGAGCCUCACAGACCACCUGGCCUCUCUCUUGUCACACUUCCUUCAAGCUUGGAGCCAAACUAAACCUGGAAGUCUGAUCGUGCCUCUCUUCCCAUAUGGCUCACCCUGGCAUUCCUCUCAUUAAAACCGAACUUUUCUACUUGCAUAAAAUACACCCAGCUCAGGAACUCUUGUACUCUGUUGGUGGGAAUGUAAAUUGGUACAGCCAUUAUGACAACAGUAUGGAGGUUCCUCAAAAAAUUAAAAAUAGAACUACCAUCUGAUCCAGCAAUCCCACUUCUGGGAACAUGGCCAAAGGAAAUAAAAUCAGUAUCUUGAAGAGAUAUUUGCA
rnacentral:lncRNA from 1 species